GGGCGGGGCUGGACGAAGGCACCGCACUCGGGGCGCGGAGGUCCGAGCGCCGGGGCGCUGCCACGGCGGGCGGGGCUGCCGGCGCGCUGUGUGGCCUUGGCCAUGAAGCCGCAGCCGCCGGGCUAGGCCCGGGGCGGCUCCAGGCCUGGGCGGCCCGCAGAGGGCUAGGCCGGUCUCCGGCUCGGUUCCCGGGGCGGUGGGAGGCCGCUCACCAUGCCCGCCAAGCACCAGCAUUUCCAGGACCCUGAGGUCGGCUGCUGCGGGAAAUACUUCCUGUUUGGUUUCAACAUUGUCUUCUGGGUGCUGGGGGCCCUGUUCCUGGCCAUCGGCCUCUGGGCCUGGGGUGAGAAGGGUGUGCUCUCCAACAUCUCCGCACUGACAGAUCUGGGCGGUCUUGACCCCGUGUGGCUGUUUGUGGUGGUUGGGGGUGUCAUGUCGGUGCUGGGCUUCGCCGGCUGCAUUGGGGCCCUCCGGGAGAACACCUUCCUGCUCAAGUUUUUCUCUGUGUUCCUCGGCCUCAUCUUCUUCAUGGAGCUGGCGGCGGGCAUCCUGGCCUUUGUCUUCAAGGACUGGAUUCGAGACCAGCUUAAUCUCUUCAUCAACAGCAACGUCAGAGCCUACCGGGACGAUAUUGACCUUCAGAACCUUAUCGACUUUGCUCAGGAAUACUGGUCUUGCUGUGGAGCCCGAGGGCCCAACGACUGGAACCUCAAUAUCUACUUCAACUGCACUGACUUGAACCCCAGCCGCGAGCGCUGUGGGGUGCCCUUUUCCUGCUGUGUCAGGGACCCUGCGAUGUCCUCAACACCCAGUGUGGCUAUGACAUCCGACUCAAACUGGAGCUGGAGCAGCAGAGCUCCAUCUACACCAAAGGCUGCGUGGGCCAGUUUGAGAAGUGGCUGCAGGACAACCUGAUCGUGGUGGCCGGGGUCUUGGUGGGCAUUGCCCUCCUCCAGAUAUUUGGCAUCUGCUUGGCCCAGAACCUCGUGAAUGAUAUCAAGGCAGUGAAGGCCACCUGGAGCCUGCUGUCUCAGACCUCUCCAUACUCGCCAUGAUCUUGAGCCUGCAGGGAGCCCGCCUUGCCCCCUCGGGGCCACAGCCUCUGACACCAACAGUUUCCUCUCGCGCUUGCCUCUCAGGGUCACCCGUGGUGACGGCUACAAACUACUCAAUAAACAGCACUUUGGAAAACA